rnacentral:rRNA from 1 species
GACGAACGCUGGCGGCGUGCUUAACACAUGCAAGUCGAACGGAAAGGCCCUGCUUUUGUGGGGUGCUCGAGUGGCGAACGGGUGAGUAACACGUGAGUAACCUGCCCUUGACUUUGGGAUAACUUCAGGAAACUGGGGCUAAUACCGGAUAGGAGCUCCUGCUGCAUGGUGGGGGUUGGAAAGUUUCGGCGGUUGGGGAUGGACUCGCGGCUUAUCAGCUUGUUGGUGGGGUAGUGGCUUACCAAGGCUUUGACGGGUAGCCGGCCUGAGAGGGUGACCGGCCACAUUGGGACUGAGGUACGGCCCAGUCUCCUACGGGAGGCAGCAGUGGGGAAUAUUGCACAAUGGGCGGAAGCCUGAUGCAGCAACGCCGCGUGCGGGAUGACGGCCUUCGGGUUGUAAACCGCUUUCGCCUGUGACGAAGCGUGAGUGACGGUAAUGGGUAAAGAAGCACCGGCUAACUACGUG